rnacentral:rRNA from 1 species
AUUGAACGCUGGCGGCAGGCCUAACACAUGCAAGUCGAGCGGAUGAAGGGAGCUUGCUCCUGGAUUCAGCGGCGGACGGGUGAGUAAUGCCUAGGAAUCUGCCUGGCAGUGGGGGAUAACGUCCGGAAACGGGCGCUAAUACCGCAUACGUCCUGAGGGAGAAAGUGGGGGAUCUUCGGACCUCACGCUAUCAGAUGAGCCUAGGUCGGAUUAGCUAGUUGGUGGGGUAAAGGCCUACCAAGGCGACGAUCCGUAACUGGUCUGAGAGGAUGAUCAGUCACACUGGAACUGAGACACGGUCCAGACUCCUACGGGAGGCAGCAGUGGGGAAUAUUGGACAAUGGGCGAAAGCCUGGUCCAGCCAUGCCGCGUGUGUGAAGAAGGUCUUCGGAUUGUAAAGCACUUUAAGUUGGGAAGAAGGGCAGUAAGUUAAUACCUUGCUGUUUUGACGUUACCAACAGAAUAAGCACCGGCUAACUUCGUG